rnacentral:lncRNA from 1 species
UCAAUUCUAUCUCUCAUCUUAGUAAAUAAAUAAUUAAUUAAUCAUUUUUUCCAAAAAAAGCUCUAGUUCUUAAUCAUGGGAAGCAAUGUUUUUCUUUUUCUUUGCAAAGCAGUGUAUUUUUAUUUUAUUUUUUAAAGUUUAUUAUAUAAAUAAAAACUAUGAAAAUUUUCAAUAGUUAAGAGAGACUGUUUUGAGAUUUAUAAUUAAUAGUGUCAAUAAAUGAAGACCCGAGAGACAAAAGAAUGCAAACAAACGUUUGGUUGGUUGUGUGAGAUCUGAA